rnacentral:rRNA from 1 species
AGGAAGAGAAAUCAAUCGAGAUUCCCUUAGUAGCGGCGAGCGAAGGGGGAAGAGUCCAAACCAUAUGCAUGUAAGAGUUGUGUCGUUGUGUAUAUGGGGUUGUAGGACCACUUGCAGGCAGCACAAUCAGCCUGGUCAGGUGAUAAAACUAAAAGUUAGUGGAAUGCUCUGGGAAGUGCAACCAAAGAAGGUGACAGUCCUGUACAUAAAAGCUUUUAGACCUGAUAGAGUGGCACCUGAGUAAGACGGGGCACGGGAAACCUUGUCUGAAUCUGGGACGACCACGUUCCAAGACUAAAUACGAGAUAGCCACCGAUAGUGAAAUAGUACCGUGAGGGAAAGGUGAAAAGAACCCCGGAAGG